rnacentral:tRNA from 3 species
GCGCCCGUAGCUCAGCUGGAUAGAGCAACGGCCUUCUAAGCCGUAGGUCGCAGGUUCGAAUCCUGCCGGGCGCGCCA